ACGGAAGGCAGCAGUGGGGAAUAUUGCACAAUGGGGGAAACCCUGAUGCAGCGACGCCGCGUGAGUGAAGAAGUUAUUCGUAAUGUAAAGCUCUAUCAGCAGGGAAGAAAAUGACGGUACCUGACUAAGAAGCCCCGGCUAACUACGUGCCAGCAGCCGCGGUAAUACGUAGGGGGCAAGCGUUAUCCGGAUUUACUGGGUGUAAAGGGAGCGUAGACGGUCUAGCAAGUCUGAUGUGAAAGGCAGGGGCCCAACUCCUGGACUGCAUUGGAAACUGUUAGUCUUGAGUGUCGGAGAGGUAAGCGGAAUUCCUAGUGUAGCGGUGAAAUGCGUAGAUAUUAGGAGGAACACCAGUGGCGAAGGCGGCUUACUGGACGAUAACUGACGUUGAGGCUCGAAAGCGUGGGGAGCAAACAGGAUUAGAUACCCUGGUA
rnacentral:rRNA from 1 species